rnacentral:rRNA from 1 species
CGGAGGUAGCAGAAACCAAGGGGACAAUCAGUAGCCAAAUAAGAAGUGAUCGACCACACUGGAAGUGAGACACGGGUCCAAACUAAUAAUGAAAACAGAAGAAAAGAAUCUUGCAAAAUAGGCGAAAGCGUAAUAAAGAAACGACGAUGAAGGAUGAAGGCCUUAGAAUUAUAAACUUCUUUGUAAAGAAAGAGAGAGAUGACUGUACCUUAGGAACAAGCCCCGGCUAAAUACCUACCAGCAGCCGCGGUAUUACGUAGGGGGCAAACGAUAUUCGGAAUUAAUGGGGGUAAAGGGUGGGUGGGGGGUUACAUAAGGCCAAAGUUUUAAAUAGAGGCUCAACCUCGACAUCCCUUCGAA